GAUGAACGCUGGCGGCGUGCCUAAUACAUGCAAGUCGAGCGAACAGACGAGGAGCUUGCUCCUCUGACGUUAGCGGCGGACGGGUGAGUAACAUGUGGAUAACCCACCUAUAAGACUGGGAAAACUUCGGGAAACCGGAGCAAAUACCGUAGAAUCUACUGAACCGCAUGGUUCAAUAGUGAAAGACGGUUUUGCUGUAACUAAUAGAUGGAUCUGCGCCGCAUUAGCUAGUUGGUAAGGUAACGGCUUACCAAGGCAACGAUGCGUAGACGAGUUGCGAGGGGGGUCGGCCACACGGGAACUGAGACACGGUCCAGACUCCUACGGGAGGCAGCAGUAGGGAAUCUUCCGCAAUGGGCGAAAGCCUGACGGAGCAACGCCGCGUGAGUGAUGAAGGUGUUCGGAUCGUAAAACUCUGUUAUUGGGGAUGAACAAAUGUGUAAGUAACUAUGCCCGUCUUGACGGUACCUAAUCAGGAAGCCACGGCUAACUACGUG
rnacentral:rRNA from 1 species